rnacentral:rRNA from 1 species
UACAGAGGUCUCAAGCGUUGUUCGGAUUCAUUGGGCGUAAAGGGUGCGUAGGCGGCGCGGUAAGUCGGGUGUGAAAUCUCGGGGCUUAACUCCGAAACUGCAUUCGAUACUGCCGUGCUUGAGGACUGGGGAGGAGACUGGAAUUUACGGUGUAGCGGUGAAAUGCGUAGAUAUCGUAAGGAAGACCAGUGGCGAAGGCGGGUCUCUGGACAGUUCCUGACGCUGAGGCACGAAGGUCAGGGGAGCAAACGGG